UAGGGAAUCUUCGGCAAUGGACGAAAGUCUGACCGAGCAACGCCGCGUGAGUGAAGAAGGUUUUCGGAUCGUAAAACUCUGUUGGUAGAGAAGAACGUUGGUGAGAGUGGAAAGCUCAUCAAGUGACGGUAACUACCCAGAAAGGGACGGCUAACUACGUGCCAGCGG
rnacentral:rRNA from 1 species